AAGCAAAAAAACCCCUCAAUAGUCUUUCCUUCUCGCCCGACCUCAGUGAAGACCUCAAGCGGUUCUUUAAAUGAGUUUGGACCUUGAAAAAAUCUUCCGAGUCAAAUAGAGAACGUCAAUUCGUUUUACAAUUACUUUCGACCGGCAGUUUGAUCGCAACAAAGAACUCCGCUGUGGUCCUUGGUGGCAUGAGAAAGCUCCAAUUGUUCUUCAAUUUUACGAUGGGGUUACUCCGAUUGAACAGGUUGUUGCAUCUGUGGCUGGUAGCUUUAAAGCUCCUGAUGAGAAAUUGUUUAAUUCUACUGGAAAGAUUAGAGUCCAUGUUGAACGUGAAUUGGUUGCACCAUUUUUUCUGAAAAAGACUCUAUUUUGAGAACGAGACUGAGGCUGAAAUUCACUUUAACUUUCAACAUCUGCAUUGGUUUUGUGAUAAGUGCCUCUUGAUUUUCCAUGAGAAUGGUAUAUGCCAAAAGAUAGGGCGUACGCUAGCCCAGCCUCAUGCCCUAUGGGCCGGGUCGAGAUGGGCUUUUUACGGGCCGGGCCGGGAUUCUCAUGGGCUUUUAGGCCUGCGGGCCAAAUGAUGACCUAGUUUUGGAUCUACUUUUAUGCAUAGGGCUUUUAAUUUUGAAGGUACUUCUAGCAUGCCUUCUGUCAGUAGACAACUAUUCUCUCCAACUUAGCCGAAGACCCGCAAACCUGUCAUCAUCAAAAAGAAAUUUUUUGAUAAGGAAUCUGAAGCAAGCAAGAAAUCAGAUCAUGACCUAGCCAUUCAUGAUCACAUUGAGAAGGUGAACGAUGAUGCUGUUGUGGUUGUGGUGUGUGCUUGCAACUGACUUUAUUUCAGUCAAAGUUAACACACCUAAACUGCAGAAAGACAAGGACAUGGAUGCUAAUUCGUUUUUGGAGCUAGUUGCUGCUGAUCAACCACUGCAAAUAUGUGGUACAAACUUGACAGAAGAACCACAUGACAUGACACGACACGAAAGACUUGUAGAUUACAUGCCUCUUUGAAGAAGAAGAUACGGCAGUUGCUAAAGGUACA